AACCAGUAAGUUAGUGGCAUCAUGUGGAGGUUCGUGCCUCCUUCUAGCCCCAUGUUCUGCAACUUCAGACCUCAAUUUCAACAAAUUCUCUGCCUAACCCACAAAGCACAUAGCAGAGCCAUAAAUCGCACCCUGAAGCUAUUUACAAUCAGCUUCUCCCAACUGCUCGGCCGCAGAACAUGGCGUGCCAUCAUAACAUUUCAAUUUCCAUUUGCAGCAUCUCAAGCAACUCGGCCGCAAACUUAACCACCCUACUUUAAGAAUUUCUUUUACUGUCAUUCAGCCAAGCAGAUAUCACUCGCAGCAGCGUAUGAAUCCAAGAGGUGUUUCAGAGUGUUCACAAUCCGCUUUUAACUUUUAGUCAUCAGGAACCACUUUCUAUCAACCAGAUAACCAGCAGCA
rnacentral:lncRNA from 1 species